rnacentral:rRNA from 1 species
CAGUAGCCACGGUAAUACGGAGGGUGCAAGCGUUAAUCGGAAUUACUGGGCGUAAAGCGCACGCAGGCGGUCUGACAAGUCAGAUGUGAAAUCCCCGGGCUUAACCUGGGAACUGCAUUUGAAACUGUCAGGCUGGAGUCUUGUAGAGGGGGGUAGAAUUCCAGGUGUAGCGGUGAAAUGCGUAGAGAUCUGGAGGAAUACCGGUGGCGAAGGCGGCCCCCUGGACAAAGACUGACGCUCAGGUGCGAAAGCGUGGGGAGCAAACAGGAUUAGAGACCCCAGUAGUCCCUGUCUCUUAUAC